UUCGGGGACUGGGUCUCGCCCCAUCUACUGUCCAGGAAAGCGAAGGGUGGACAGAAAGGGAGGGGAUGCAAUGUGUGGGUGUUCGGCGUUCCUGGACCACAAGCCAGGAAGUGGGGAAAUUAGCAAAACCCGGGUUGGGCAGGAAGAGUGCAGGAAAACAGCCGGCCAGAGGUUCGGCCACAUCUGUAAUCCACUUUUCAUGAGCUUGGUCUUUGGAAUCUUGAAUUGUUUGCUCACUGGCUCUACUUCAGGUAUCUUGAUUCACAACACCCUGCAAAGUCAGCUGUAUCAUCUCCAAUUCCAUUUAUGGAGGAGACUAAGAGGCACUUGCCAAAGCAUUCCAGUUACUAGCAGAAGUGGUUUCUUUGAUGGCUAAUUUCAAUUGUCAACUUGACUGGAUUAAAAUACCUAGUGCAUUAAUGAGGCACAACUUUUGAUGUGUCCGUGAAAGUGUUUCUAAGAGAUUUAACUAAAGACUCAUCCUGAAUAUUGGCAGCACCUUCCCCAUGGACUGGGGUCCUGGAUUGAAUAAAACUAGGAAAAGGAAAAAGCCAGUUGAGCACCAGGCAUUCCCCUCUCUGUUUCCUCAUCUGUUCAGGUGUGAGCUUGUUCUCCUCACCACAGUUGAAAGCCAUUUCCAUUGCCAUGCCUUCCCCUCUCUGAUGGACUCUAGACCUCCUGAACCAUGUGUUAAAAUAAACCCUUCGUCUUUUCUUUGUCUUUUGUUAGGUAUUUGAUCACAUUGAUGAGAAAAGUUAUGAAAACACUCAAACCAAGAGCAUGGGAGACUGAAUUCAUUUAUAAUAAUGGCAAACGAUUAUAUAGUGUUAGAUGUUAG